ACCAGCAGUUAGUAGUAUGUGAGAGUGCUGCCAGUUAUGGCUCAGGUGAUGUUUGUUUUGAAACUGUUCUUGUUGUCCCUGCUAGAUGUUGGAGGACAUCCAGUAAAUGCCUUCAGUCAAGAACCUGACAAUGGAGAAAGGGUUCUUAGCCAUUCUUGGCCAUUUGUCUUCAAACUCCCUUUUUCUGGUGAUCUCUCAACAGUAGGGGGUCAGUUAUCCCCUCCGCAUCACGGCUUCCCGGCCAAGGUGCCGCAGCACAAGCCCCAGGUGCCCUCUCAGCAUCACAGCUUCCUG